ACCCUUCGUGAACCUCCUGAAGGUAUUUCAAGAUCCAUUAAAGGCCAGGACCUGAGAAGGUGGUCCUCGAAGGAGGUGAGUUGGGGAGGAAGAAGGGAAGAUGAGCCGAGUGGAGGGGAUUUCGUGGGGGCGAAACAAAAGCGCGCCUGGUCCGGUUCAGGAGUCAACCAGAGUGAUUUCAAACCUGCUCGACCGCCGAGAGUUUGAAGGCUUGGAGCGUUUCCGCCGCCUACUGGACAGAAGGAGAACUGCAGCCUUUUUCUCACGGAGAGAAAAGUUGGGGAGAAAAGUUCCUUUCGGGGUCCGGGAGAGGUGGGGGGUCGGCGGCCAACAACGGGGAGAAGGGAUUGGAGCUCCUUGCCAAAAACCUGCCCAUUGUGGUCUCAUCUGCGGAGGUUGGAAGAAAUAGUGGAAAAAGAAAAGAAGAUGUUACUGUGUGAAGCACAUUUAAAAUUCAGCGAAUGAAGCAGACUGAUGGUGUACAAGGGUUGAAUGAAAAGUAAUGCCUCCACCUUCGUAACUCCUCAACAGAUGGCAGUACUGGUAUGCGGCAGGUACUGGCUUGUUCAGUAGA